rnacentral:snRNA from 1 species
AUAGCUUAUACAACUUUGCUUGUAUGCUAGGACUGUGCUAUUCCUAUUUACUUGGUAUCUUUGCUUGUGCUGUAACUAACCAGUGAGGGUGGAUGUAUAUAUAUAUAUAUAUAUAUAUAUAUAUAUAUAUAUAUAUAUAUAUAUGUAUAUAUAUGUAUAUAUAAGCAAAA